UACGGAGGGUGCGAGCGUUGUUCGGAAUUAUUGGGCGUAAAGAGCGUGUAGGCGGCCUGACAAGUCAGAUGUGAAAGCCCUGGGCUCAACUCAGGAAGUGCAUUUGAAACUGUCGGGCUUGAGUACGGGAGGGGGAAGCGGAAUUCCUGGUGUAGAGGUGAAAUUCGUAGAUAUCAGGAGGAACACCGGUGGCGAAGGCGGCUUCCUGGACCGAUACUGACGCUGAGACGCGAAAGCGUGGGGAG
rnacentral:rRNA from 1 species